rnacentral:misc_RNA from 1 species
CGGGUGUGAAGCGCUAAGCAUACUCAUAGCAGCUCUCUCGCACGGACUGAAAGGUCCACGGCCUCCACCCCUCGCCACCGGCGUGUCUUCCAGCAUCUAAUUACUCUCAUUGCAGGGAGCCCGCACAGCCCUUGCACGGCACAAAACAACUGCAGCCCGAGUCGCUGCAUACACACGCUUCACGAGACCGCGCGCGCUAAACGUCUGUGUGAGUGCGCGCACUUGCGGCGUAGCCCUGCCAUCUUUGCGCGCGCGGUAAAUCGUCUGCUCUGUGCGCACGCCAUGCAGUGGGUGCCGCCUAUUGCAACUGGCGCUGCGUUGGCCCAUCGGACCGCCGCCUUCGCAGUUGAAAGCCUAAGGGCGAUCCACGAUCCGACGAAUGCAGAUGCCGUCUCCGCUGUGGGCGAGCUCAGCUCGCUCGAUUCGCUGGAGAACAUGAAGAACUGCAUGAUGGCUGACCAGCGGGGCCGCAGCAUUUUGAAGCACCAGCCUGUCGUGGGCGAUGAGGCGCUCGAGUUCAGCCGCGGCCUCGCACCGUCCACCUUCGGCUUCAGGUAUGCCGCCUAUAUGGACCGUAACCAUUUCCUGCCAAGUGGGCGGACGGCGGUGAAGCACAUUGCUGAUCCGACUUUGGCGUAUGUAAUGACGCGGUACAGGCAGUGCCACGACUUUGUGCACAUCAUUACCGGUUGUGGUCGCUCGAUAGAGGAGGAGCUGGCGGUGAAGAUCUUUGAGUGGAAGCACACGGGCCUGCCUCUUGGGUUGCUCUCGCUGCUGGGUGGAGCACCGCGUCUGGCAGCAGCGCAGUGGGCACACAUGCGACUCUAUUGGGAGUGGGCCUCUCGCAACGCACCUUGCUCCCGCCACGGUGAGCCCGCCGUGCCCAUGUAUCUCAAUGUGCCGUGGGAGGACAUGCUUGCCAAGGAAUACGAUGAAGUUGUGGCGUACACCGGUAUUACACCGCUGCCUCAAUUCCUCGAGAAGCGCCAGAAGCACUGAAUGGUGUGCGUUUCGUCGACUGGCACGGAAGUGAAUGGAGCACAAGAAAUGAGGAAGGAGAGACAGGAUCGCGAGAUGUUAAAGGCCGCUGCCGCUCUCAGCGCCCCCUGCCUUUUCCCCCGGACGCACGCCCCUUCUUGUGCAUGCUCGGCCGCGUCGUUCAUCUUCUAUACUGUGCGCAUCUGACGGUUUAUGCGCAACUCCAGCGAUGCAAUCGUCUGUUGCGUUGUGUGUGUGUGUGUGUGUGCGUCAUUCACAAACAAAUUUGAUUUCCUCGUGGCUACCCAUGUGCAGUAGAAGGCGUGCGCGUGUAGGUAGGUGAGUGAGGGAGCAACUGGCGCGAACUCGCUGUCAACAAGUUACCCUUCGGCAUCGAAAACAAGGCAGCCUCUCUUUCAGCCACAAACCUUUCAUGGUGUCGCGAGUGCGAUCGCACUGCGUUGCAUGAUGCCUCUUCUACCAUCUCUCCUCACUGCAUGCGAACGUAUGCAUGCGUACGCGCGCGUGCACGAGAUGCCUUCGCUGCUGCGCUAGACUUGUUUCCUCCCCGCCCUCUUUCGGCUUCGCCUCGCUGCAUGACAAGGUCUCCACCGUAUCCGCCUCUCGCUCUCGUUCACCGCCACGCCAAGCCAG